rnacentral:rRNA from 1 species
UACGUAGGCCCCAAGCGUUAUCCGGAAUUAUUGGGCGUAAAGAGCGUGUAGGUGGUACUACAAGUCGGUCGUUAAAUCUCACCGCCCAACGGUGAGGCCGCGAGCGAUACUGUAGUACUUGAGUCUUACAGGGGUGAGCAGAAUUUUUGGAGUAGGGGUGAAAUCCGUUGAUACCAAAAGGAAUACCAAUGGCGAAGGCAGCUCACUGGACCGCUAUCGACGCUGAGGAGCGAAAGCUAGGGGAGCAAACAGG